rnacentral:rRNA from 1 species
UACGUAGGGUGCAGGCGUUAAUCGGAAUUACUGGGCGUAAAGCGUGCGCAGGCGGUUUGCUAAGACAGGUGUGAAAUCCCCGGGCUUAACCUGGGAACUGCGCUUGUAACUGGCAAGCUAGAGUGUGGCAGAGGGGGGUGGAAUUCCACGUGUAGCAGUGGAAUGCGUAGAUAUGUGGAGGAACACCGAUGGCGAAGGCAGCCCCCUGGGCUAACACUGACGCUCAUACACGAAAGCGUGGGGAGCAAACAGG